rnacentral:sRNA from 1 species
GCUAGGUGCAGUGGCUCACACCUGUAAUCCCAAUAACUUGAGAGGCUGAGGCAGGAGAAUUGCAAGUUUUAGGCCAGCCUGGGCAAUUUAGUGAGACCCUGCCUCAA